GAUGAACGCUGGCGGCGUGCCUCAUACAUGCAAGUCGAGCGAACAGACGAGGAGCUUGCUCCUCUGACGUUAGCGGCGGACGGGUGAGUAACACGUGGAUAACCUACCUAUAAGACUGGGAUCACUUCGGGACACCGGAGCUAAUACCGGAUAAUAUAUUGAACCGCAUGGUUCAAUAGUGAAAGACGGUAUUGCUGUCACUUAUAGAUGGAUCCGCGCCGCAUUAGCUAGUUGGUAAGGUAACGGCUUACCAAGGCAACGAUGCGUAGCCGACCUGAGAGGGUGAUCGGCCACACUGGAGCUGAGACACGGUCCAGACUCCUACGGGAGGCAGCAGUAGGGAAUCUUCCGCAAUGGGCGAAAGCUUGACGGAGCAACGCCGCGUGAGUGAUGAAGGUCUUCGGUUCGUAAAACUCUGUUAUUAGGGAAGAACAAAUGUGUAAGUAACUAUGCACGUCUUGACGGUACCUAAUCAGAAAGCCACGGCUAACUACGUG
rnacentral:rRNA from 1 species